GUAGCUAGAGCUACGCUCUCCCAUCCCAUACCUCCUGUCAUUAAGCAUCUACAAGACCUGCCAUCGGUUCCAACUCCAGGAAAAUGCUCUUUGAGUCAACAGAAAACACUAUGCAGCUGUUUCUAGGAAAAGAUUUUCUGGUCAUUUACAUUUUCACUGCCUCAGGCAAUAAAGUGAACCAUGAGCUGCUGUAGAAUCGGAAGGAUUUUUCAACAGGUAGCAAGGACGUAUGGUGGAGGCGAGGGAACAAUCUGGACAUUUCUUUCUCUUUUUUUGACUGCUUCUUUUUUAUCUGCUUCUGUUUUUAAUCCUGU